GCAAGUGUGGCGUAGUGGUUUGAGCAUUGGACUAAGACUGCGGAGACCUGGGUUCGAUUCCCUGCUCAGCCA